UUUUUAAAAAUUAUUUGUUUUAACAUUAUUUACACCACUUCAGGAAGAAAGUGAACAUAUAUAACGAAAAACAAUCCCAUCCCUAUAUAAACCACAUCAAUGCAGAACACAACAACUAACAGGCUAGGGACAUUCAACGAACACAUUCGUGAGGCAAAUUCAACCCGCAACAAAACUCCGAUACCUCUGGCGAUAGCCAGAGGUAUCACACCCUGAAGUCUCACGGGCUGAUCCAAUCGAGAAUCAACAAUGCCAUGGAAACGCCUCUACAACCUUCGAUGUCUAGGAGAUUCUCUCCAAAAUUGGGACAAUAUCUCUAUAUAAAUACGUUCAUUAUGAAACAUUUAGAAAUACUUAUAUUGUUC